UUUCCCCAGCCGCCCCACACACAAACACUCAGACCCUAAACCAUACACACACGAAACGGAAAGAAGGAGAAGGAAGGAGAGGGGGAAAAGGGGAGACGGCGGCGGUGGAUGUCACUGCCACCGUCGCCGCCGUCUUAUCGCUGUCGGGAGAGUAAUAACGUGAGGGGAGAGAGAGACGAGCUCGCGAGGGAGUAGCGUCGCCGCCACUGGAGGGGAGCCUGGCUGUCCUCGUCACUGCCAGCUCCGUCGCCGUCGUCACCAUUGGAGCUGCGCGAAGCCGUCGUCGCCGUUGUCACCAUCGAUGCUUCUCGUUGUCGUUUGUGGGUUGUCGCCUCUUCUGCUUCUGCUGUCACGCUGUCGUCUGCCCCUCUGGACAUCGCUGCUUUUGAAUCGUGUCCUGUCACUCGGAUAUGCUGCAAGAAGCUAUCAGAAAGUGGCAUUGAUGAGAAGAAGCACAAACCCUCCACCAGCAAUACCGCUGCCUCUAAAUCCAAGGACGGAAUGGAAGAUUACAAUUUUGCUAUGAAGAGGAUGAUGAGGAAUCCUUAUGAGUAUCACCACGAUCUGGGUUUGAAUUACACACUUAUAACUGACAAUCUCAUUGUGGGAUCCCAACCACAGAAACCUGAAGACAUCGAUCACCUCAAGAAGGAAGAGGGGGUGACAUACAUUCUGAAUUUGCAGCAAGAUAAGGAUGUAGAAUAUUGGGGAAGCCUGCAUUUCAGUCAAUUUUGUUGAGAAAAUAGACUCCCACUCUGAAUUUUAUGAAAAUCAAGAGUGGUUCCUCCACUGAGUUUCUCAAUCAUUUGCAAAAUUGCCCUGCUUGGGGUCAUAGGAUGUUCAUCACAGAUGCUGGGCUAUGCUGGAAUUAGUUACAGUAAUCCCACUUUCCUCAGCUAUCAGUAACCUCAUUCCUGCUUUCACCGUCAUACUUGUUAUCAUUUGCAGGUUCCUUUCUCUUUCUCAAUUUAUGGAUUUAUUUGACAAAAUUCUAACCUGUACAAUCAUCAUUUGCUGCUCAAAGGUGUUUCAAAGAAGAAGAAAAAUGAAAACAAAAAUGCUCAGAAGAUAAUAAAAAUCAGUCCAAGUCAAAUCAAAGUUAUCUUGUUUUGUAUUUAUUAAUUACAGUUGGAAUAAAUGAUCAAUAUUACAUAUAUAAGUGAUGUAAUUAAUAAUUUCUUUCUGAAUCACUAUCUUAGUAUCUUACCCUAUUAUCCA